rnacentral:rRNA from 1 species
GACGAACGCUGGCGGCGUGCUUAACACAUGCAAGUCGAGCGGUAAGGCCCUUUCGGGGGUACACGAGCGGCGAACGGGUGAGUAACACGUGGGUGACCUGCCCUCAGCUCUGGGAUAAGCCUGGGAAACCGGGUCUAAUACCGGAUAUGACUCCAUGACGCAUGUUGUGGGGUGGAAAGCCUUGUGCGGCUGAGGAUGGGCCCGCGGCCUAUCAGCUUGUUGGUGGGGGAUGGCCUACCAAGGCGACGACGGGUAGCCGGCCUGAGAGGGCGACCGGCCACACUGGGACUGAGACACGGCCCAGACUCCUACGGGAGGCAGCAGUGGGGAAUCUUGCGCAAUGGACGAAAGUCUGACGCAGCGAUGCCGCGUGGGGGAUGAAGGCCUCGGUCGUAACCCGUU